GUGGGAAUCUUAGACAAUGGGGGCAACCCUGAUCUAGCCAUGCCGCGUGAGUGAUGAAGGCCUUAGGGUUGUAAAGCUCUUUCAGUGGGGAAGAUAAUGACGGUACCCACAGAAGAAGCCCCGGCUAACUCCGUGCCAGCAGCCGCGGUAAUACGGAGGGGGCUAGCGUUGUUCGGAAUUACUGGGCGUAAAGCGCACGUAGGCGGAUCGGAAAGUUGGGGGUGAAAUCCCAGGGCUCAACCCUGGAACUGCCUUCAAAACUAUCGGUCUGGAGUCCGAGAGAGGUGAGUGGAAUUCCGAGUGUAGAGGUGAAAUUCGUAGAUAUUCGGAGGAACACCAGUGGCGAAGGCGGCUCACUGGCUCGGUACUGACGCUGAGGUGCGAAAGCGUGGGGAGCAAACAGGAUUAGAAACCCCUGUAGUCC
rnacentral:rRNA from 1 species